rnacentral:sRNA from 1 species
UGCCUUUGAUGUGAUCCAUCAUCGCUCCAAUGCUGGUGAUGAUGAUGAUGCUGAUGCUGAUGGUAAUGGUCGCACUCUGUUUUCAAAGAUUCGCAGAGGAACCGAUUAAAAUCAAAGCCAUCAAUGGCAAUGAUUUGUGGUUUAGUUGGCAUGGCAACAACUGUAAUUGGAAUCGAUGACACAACAUUUUAUUUGGAUUUCGAAUGAAUUGAAUUUUGUUUAAAACCUUAUCCUCCGCAAAAAAAAACCUGCCAAAAGGCCGAUAAAGAGAUAGGGAGAGAGGGACAACUGUAAUUGCUAUCGAUGGCACAUAAUUUUAUUUUGAUUUAAUUGGACAAAAAAAAAAAUCAAAUUCUUCCCCCUGAGACUGUCAAUGAAAGCAAGUGUGAGAUGGAUAGAGAGAGGGAGAGAGAGUGAGUGUUUGCUUUGAGAAUGAGGCCAGUAAUGAUAUUGGAAAUGUCAAGGACAAUUUGUGAUUGAAGAUGGAUGAGUAGUAUGAGUGCCAAAUAUUUUAUAAGCUCUUCAUGUCUUAUGCUAAAUAAUGCAUGCGCGUGCCUCUACUAACAGAUGUAUUUGGGAUGAAUUUAUUUUUCUGGUUAUUUAUGGAAAGCCACGAAUCUUUCCUCUGAAAGCAGGUAAAAAGUGAGCUGGAAAAUAAAUAAGAAAUAUUUGGAA